GCUUACCAUGCAAGUCGAGGGGUAUAGUUCUUCGGAACUUGAGACCGGCGCACGGGUGCGUAACGCGUAUGCAAUCUACCUUUCACAAAGGGAUAGCCCAAAGAAAUUUGGAUUAAUACCUUAUAGUAUAUAUGAAUGGCAUCAUUUAUAUAUUAAAGAUUUAUCGGUGAAAGAUGAGCAUGCGUCCCAUUAGCUAGUUGGUAAGGUAACGGCUUACCAAGGCAACGAUGGGUAGGGGUCCUGAGAGGGAGAUCCCCCACACUGGUACUGAGACACGGACCAGACUCCUACGGGAGGCAGCAGUGAGGAAUAUUGGACAAUGGGCGCAAGCCUGAUCCAGCCAUGCCGCGGUGCAGGAUGACGGUCCUAUGGAUUGUAAACUGCUUUUUAUACGAGAAGAAAAACCCCGACGUGUCGGGACUUGACGGUAUCGUAAGAAUAAGGAUCGGCUAACUCCGUGCCAGCAGCCCGCGGUAAUAC
rnacentral:rRNA from 1 species